rnacentral:lncRNA from 1 species
CUGCGAGAGCCGCCCGCCCGGCAUGCACCGCGGCACGCACAUCACCGCCACCGCGCCAGCGCCCGAACCCCCUCCUGCGCCAGGGGCACAAAGCUCCGAGGCGGACGCAGCCCCGCGGCUCCCUCCGUACCGGGGCUGAGCAGCGCCAGCUCUCCCUCCUGCACUCGGCGGGCACUGGCAGCACCUUGCCACCUGCUCCUGAGCGUGAACGACCCCAAACCCAGCGCAGCUGAGCCCAGCAAACCAGGCUCUGGCCCUGCCCUGGGCAUUUUAAGGGGACCCUGCAGGCUGCUGCCCCCACGCCCUUCACAGCUGCUUCCCAGGUGCAGAGGCUUUUGGGGCCUGGAGGAUUUCGGCUCCCGCUCGCCGGCUCCACUGCAGCCCUUGGCUGUACUCUGCCCCCAGGCUGGCAGCCCUGGCUCAUCGCCGUCACUGUGCCUGCGCUGUGCUCGCCUGCGCCUGCCGGGCUCCAGGGACAAGGGCCGGGGCCAGCGCCCCGGGAACGGCCCUUUCGCUGUGCUUUCCCAGCCGCAGGGACGCGUCCUCGUUCCCGCAGCCUCCCGCAGCCCAGCGCCCUGGGAACGGCCCUUUCGCCGUGCUUCCCCAGCCGCGGGGACGCGUCCUCGUUCCCGCAGCCUCCCACAGCCCAGCAUCCCGGGAACGGCCCUUUCACCGUGCUUCCCCAGCCGCAGGGACGCGUCCUCGUCCCCGCAGCCUCCCACAGCCCAGCAUCCCGGGAACGGCCCUUUCGCUGUGCUUCCCCAGCCGCAGGGACACGUCCUCAUCCCCGCAGCCUCCCCGCGGUCUCUCGUCAGGGGAACCGCGGGUGCCACGUCUGUGCAGCCCUCUGGCCCGCCCGGUGCGGCUCAGCCGGCAGCAGGAGCUGUGCGGAAGGUGCACAGCCCUGGGAACCGGCCCCAGACGGCUCUCGCUGUUAGUCAAUGUACUUCCUCCCGGCGAGUACAGAGGCUGAUCAUGGGGGUACAUGAUGUCAGGAAAUUGCGCUGGGGAUUAUUGCUUCUGCUGACAAGAUCCAGCAAGGAGAAAGGAGAACUGGC